CAUUAGGUGCCAUUAGGCACCACAUAAGCUGAACAAUAGAAAAAUU
rfam:Nelumbo nucifera unplaced genomic scaffold scaffold00182, whole genome shotgun sequence